UACGAAGGGGGCUAGCGUUGUUCGGAAUGACUGGGCGUAAAGGGAGCGUAGGCGGUAAGUUACGUUUGAUGUGAAAGCCCUGGGCUUAACCUGGGAACUGCAUUGAAUACGGACUUACUAGAGUGAAAGAGGGGAAGAUGGAAUUGCGUGUGUAGAGGUGAAAUUCGUAGAUAUACGCAAGAACACCGAUGGCGAAGGCAGUCUUCUGGCUUUUAACUGACGCUAAGGCUCGAAAGCGUGGGGAGCAAACAGG
rnacentral:rRNA from 1 species